rnacentral:rRNA from 1 species
UACGAGUGCCUCAAGCGUUAUCCGGAAUUAUUGGGCGUAAAGGUUGUGUAGGUGGUCGUGUUAGUCUUCUGUUAAAUUCUUCGGCUUAACCGGGGGCAUGCAGAAGAAACGGCACGACUCGAGGAUGCGAGGGGUCUGCGGAACUCAUAGUGUAGCGGUGAAAUGCGUUGAUAUUAUGGGGAACACCAAAAGCGAAGGCAGCAGACUGGAGCACUCCUGACACUGAAACACGAAAGCGUGGGUCGCGAAUGGG